rnacentral:rRNA from 1 species
UACGUAGGUGGCAAGCGUUGUCCGGAUUUACUGGGCGUAAAGAGCGCGCAGGCGGUCGUUCAAGUCGAGUGUGAAAGCCCCCGGCUCAACUGGGGAGGGUCACUCGAUACUGAUCGACUCGAAGGCAGAAGAGGGAAGCGGAAUUCCCGGUGUAGUGGUGAAAUGCGUAGAUAUCGGGAGGAACACCAGUGGCGAAGGCGGCUCACUGGCCCGGUACUGACGCUGAGGUGCGAAAGCGUGGGGAGCAAACAGG